rnacentral:rRNA from 1 species
CCUACGGGUGGCAGCAGUGGGGAAUAUUGCGCAAUGGGCGAAAGCCUGACGCAGCGACGCCGCGUGAGGGAUGAAGGUCUUCGGAUCGUAAACCUCUGUCAGCAGGGAAGAACGGUCACUGUGCUAAUCAGCAGUGCAUUGACGGUACCUGCAAAGGAAGCACCGGCUAACUCCGUGCCAGCAGCCGCGGUAAUACGGAGGGUGCGAGCGUUAAUCGGAAUUACUGGGCGUAAAGCGCUCGUAGGCGGUAUGUCAAGUCAAGGGUGAAAUCGCGCGGCUCAACCGCGCCCCGCAGUUGAAACUGGACGCCUUGAGUGCACAACAGGCAGGCGGAAUUCGUGGUGUAGCGGUGAAAUGCAUAGAUAUCACGAGGAACCCCGAUUGCGAAGGCAGCCUGCCGGGGUGCGACUGACGCUGAGGCUCGAAGGUGCGGGUAUCAAACAGGAUUAGAUACCCGGGUAGUC